rnacentral:tRNA from 1 species
GUCGCCGUAGCUCAGAAGGAUAGAGCACCCGCCUCCUAAGCGGAAGGUCGCAGGUUCGAAGCCUGCCGGCGACG